rnacentral:tRNA from 1 species
GCUAGCGUAGCUCAAUGGCAGAGCAGCUGACUUGUAAUCAGCAGGUUGCGGGUUCAAGUCCCAUCGCCAGCUCC